rnacentral:rRNA from 1 species
GACGGAAGGUGCAAGCGUUGCUCGGAAUCACUGGGCGUAAAGGGUGCGUAGGCGGCUUGGUAAGUUGGGUGUGAAAGCCCCGGGCUCAGCCCGGGAAGGGCACUCGAAACUGCCGAGCUGGAGUGCCGGAGGGGAGAGUGGAAUUCCUGGUGUAGGCGGUGAAAUGCGUAGAUAUCAGGAGGAAUACCGGUGGCGAAAGCGACUCUCUGGACGGCAACUGACGCUGAGGCACGAAGCGUGGGAGCAAACAGGA